CCUCAUCAUAAACCUUCUGAGAAAUGCUUGAUUCUAGUGAACUCUCACACCUCUUGAUUCCUUUCUGUGUUAAUGAUUUACAUAGGAUCAUACGCAUAGCCAACGGUUCUGAGCCACUUACAGUAAGCUGUCAAAGAACUCUCUCGUUGGUGCACGCAGUUCUCUCUCAAACACGCCAGCUAAUGACUUAUCAGAUGAUGAUUAUCUCUAGCAAGUAUCUAGCAGAUAUUUCGCUUGAGUUAGUAUCACCAGGAUGACUAUCUGGAAUGUGCUUGUUCAAAAGUAUCUUUGCUGCCUUUAAAAAGGCCUCAGGCACAUCUUAUUGUUCUGUGGAAGUAGAAUGAAGAAGACUUCAGACACAAUAUUUUGUCCUUUCAGAAUGAGAUUUGCCAUAGUAAUAUUUAAAACCCAUUUGGAGUUAAAUGUUACCUGAGACAAUAUGCAAACAAUACAAAAGUGGAUGACUUUGUAAAAGCCCCAACGCAAUACUGCUCAUGCAUUCUAUGAAACUUCCGAAGCAGGAAACACUUUUGGCUCCAGAACAGUAUUGUCUUCUGAUUUCCUGAACUCAGAGAUGCAGGCAUAUGGAUAGGGAGUACAGCUCAGUAAAGAUUUUGGGCAAAUGGCCAGACUGGAGGAAGCUUCCCAACACUUUCCAGCCAGGAAGCCUCAGUUGACAAUCCUAGUGCCAGGCCACAGCACUGCCUUUCAUUCACACUAUGAGUGAUGGUUUGCUCAGAGAACAGCUUCCUUGUUGCACUGACUGAGGCCAGCAUAGGACAGAAAUGCCAGAAGGCACUGUGUGUAUGGCCUCCUUUGCAAGUUGUUCAUCCAGGCACACAGAAAAUAACCAGAAAGGACAAGGCACAUGCACUAGGUCCUGCCAAGUUGUCAAGAGAAGUUCAUGUGGUACAAUGCAGAAGCAGGACAGAUUCCAUGUGAAUAAAGCCUCUAUUUCCCUUUGUAGAGAGGCACAUGCCUUACUAGGAUGUGUACUGUUUCCUUUCCAACAACCAGUGCCUCUUAGGAUUUGCUGAUGAGUGCAAGUUUCUGUUGCUUUGGAAAAAAUUGUUGCAAAAGAUGAUGAGGUGGUGUAUUAACUCCUCUCUGCUUUUCAGUUGGCUUCACUUUCCAUGGGAGGACUACUUUACUCAAAUAUUCAAGAUGAAAAAAGUGCCUUCGCUGUUACUCUUUUAAAAAUAUAUAUUAUUAGUAUUGUGAUCCCUCAAGAGAACUGUUGCACACACAGCAACCAGCUAGUAAAGGGCAGAGAUAGCAAUCAGGAAUGAUUAAACCGUAAAAAAAUGUCAGUGGCAUAACAUGACCUAACUGUGAUUCCACAAAUUAUAGAUGAAUGCAGAGGCUGAAAAAGCAAAAGCAGAAAACACACUGUAAUCUUUAUAUUCAUAUCCCCCAAAUUUUACCAAAUUCUUUGGACCAGUUGCAGACAUUUACAGAAACUAGCUGCUGUUUUCUGUACUUUGUCCAUUGAGAAAUGGGUUUGGGUAGAAAAGUUGACAAGAGAGCUUGAGAUUAAACUUGUCCUCGUCUUUAGAGGUCAGAUAGGUCAUAUUUACAGAGACACAUGAGCAAAUUCCUACCCCCAGUGUGCUGAUGAAAACAGGUUGGGAUGGAACAACAUGACCUUUACAACUCUGCUACUAAGAAAAGCCACGUGUGCAAAGGUACACACAAGAAGGAGGGGGAAGAAGUGGAAGCUUGCUCUCAGUGUUAGAUUAACUCCUGCUUCUUAGUGACAGGCUAUCAAGUAUGUGCUUGAGCUGAGAAUCCUACAAGUGCCAUGAACAGUACCAGACUAACCUCUGCUCUGAGGCUUGCUUGUGAAAGACAGGGCAGGUUUGCUUGGUUUGCUCUUGGAUUCAUGGCAAGACCUAUCCAGAAAAUAGGAUGCUGUACAUACCUGACACAGCUUCUCUUCUGAGAAAAAAUCCUGAAGGUUUCACCAUAUUUUGUUAUGAUAUAUCCAAGAAAGAGAACUAGACUGUCACAUUUUCAUUCUAAAAAUAAUCAAAACCAGCACAUGGCCCAACUGAAACACAAGAGAAUCAUUUUCAGAUUUUCACUUUGUCUUAAAUUUUGUGAUAGAGUUGUUUUAUGUUAAUUUUGCAAGAAAAGCUAGAAAAUGUCUGUUGAGCUCACAGCUUAGGGUUGGGGUUCUGAGGUGGGAGCCUGGCGUGCACUCCCACAGUCAGUCAAGACAAGGAAAAGCUCUCAGGCUUUCCCAUUUUAGAUUCAUUCUGGACUGAGGCAAAAAUUUUAUCAGUUCAGAGUAAGGUUUGAAAAAAACUCUGCCUUUAAACCCUACUACUUCCAGUCUAAGACAGUUUACUACUGCCUAAGAGACAAAAGAGUUAAUCCCUUUCCUGACAUGUUCACAGGACUCUGCAUUUCACAGAGCGUUCAAAAACAGAAAUGAAUGAUUCUUCUCAGUAUUAUUAAAAGACACAUCUCCAAGGUAAAAGACUUGAGGUUCUCAAGUGAAGGAUAACUCUCAUACAAUUUUGGUGCAGUUUAUACGACAGAAGGAAGGUGUGCCACCCAAAGGAACCUGGACAAGAUUGAAAAGUGGGCCCACAUGAACACAGCGAGGUUCAACAAUCCAAGUCUAAGGUAUUGCACUUGGAUUGGAGCAGUGCCAGACAUCCCAGACUGGAAGAAGGACAUGGAGGUUUGGAGGACAAAAAGCUGGACAUGAGCCAGCAGUGUGCGUUUCCAGCUCAGAAGACCUACUGUAUUCUCAGUUGCUUCAAAAGAGGGAGGGCCAGCAGGGAGAGGGAAAGGACUGUUGCCCUCUGCUUUGCCUUCAUGGGGCCCUGCCUGCAGCACUGCUUCCAGGCCUGGGGCCCCCAGCACAAGAAAGAUGCUGAGCUGUUGGAGCGGUUCCAGAGAAGGGCCAUGAAGAUGAUCAGAGGGCUGGAGCACCUCUCUUACAAAGACAGGCUCAGGGACUUGGGAUUGUUCAUCCUGGAGAACAGAAGGCUCCUGGAGGACCUCACUGCUGCCUUCCAGUACUCAAAAGGAACUUGCAAACAGGAGGGAAACCAACUUUUUACAAAGGUAGAUAGUGAUAGAACAAAGAGGAAUGGCUUUAAACUAAAAUAAAGGAGGUUUAGGUUAGAUGUUCGGAGGAAAUUCUUUACUCCAAGGGUGAAGAGGCACUAGCACAGGCUGCCCAGAGAAGCUGUGAGUGUCCCAUCCCUAGAGGUGCUUAAGGCCAGGUUGGAUGGGGUCCUGGGCAGCCUGAUCUGGUGGGAGAAGACCAGCCCACGGCAGGGGAGGUUGGUACUGAAUUGUUUUUAAUGUCCCUUCUCAUCUAGGCCAUUUUGUGAUUCUGCGGUCCCUGAAAGAUAUUUGUAGGGUUUUUUUACAAUAUUGUUUUGGAGUGGUAACAGUUCUGAAAUUGUGGAAUUCCCUAGAAAAUAGAAAAAACUGUUCCCUCUCAGCACACAAUGUGUUUUAAAAUGUCUAGCAGUUCCUCAGUUUUCAAAAAAGCACACACAUGAUGCAUCCCACAGCAUCUGGUAGGAAACGUAACAUGAGAAAUUCUCUUGAUUAUACAGCUGGAUACAACAGGGCCACAGAUUCAUAAGUAAGCUAUUAAAAUUGUAAGGUCAAUGCAUUUUUCUUUAUCCUGGUAUGUCAUUUGUAUGCUCCAGCAUUUUGUCAACUAAGCCUUUUUUCCUCUUGAGCAACCUUAUUGACGAUAAAAUGUACGAAAUCCAGGUGUAGCCUUGCUUGCAGCUUAAGAAAGCCUUUGAAGAGGCCACAGAAUCAUAUAUCAUUAAGAACUGCAUGAAGUAUCAAAAAAACUUUUGGCCAGCCCAACAAGCCUGCAAAUAAAGGCCAUGCCAUCAGUCUGGAAACAUGAAGCAGCCCAUCAAGGUUAUUUUGGUAUAUUUUGCAUUUUAGCACUUGACUACCAGGUUUCUUUCAAAACCACCACUAAAACACCCAAUUUCAGCAGUGAUGUAUGAAUGAGGCUCAGUCUGCAAAUCAAAUAGUUUUUCAAGUUCAGGGUUGAUUGCAGCCAAGCCCUUUCAUCAUCAUCAGGGUGUGCGAUAGGUAAAUGGCCUAAUUCUCACUUCUACCAGAGUGCCAGUGCUGAUACAGCCCUCACUAUCAUUGUGAUUAUAAAGCUACCUGACAGCGAUACAACACUGUCCUCUUCUAAUACAGAAAUAGGAGUUAACAAUACAUCUGCAUUCACACUAUGGCCAGUCUAAACUUGGACGUUUUACUGGCAGAGACAUGCUGGUUCAGAGUGCAGAGAAAAGUGUCACACACCUCUCUGACAGCUGUGCUGGCAGGCACCCUGGAGGAGUGCUUAGAUAGACAAAACAAGUUUCUGCAGGGUAGAAGUAGCUGUCUGCAUAAGCUUGUCUCAUAUGAGAAGCAGGGUACUUUGAACUGGCUUAGCACCCUUUCACUGAGUUUGACCCAAUGUCUAAAGCCAUAGCUGUGUCAUUAAAGAUACUUAAUUCCAGGAAAUAGUAAAAGCAGUAACAGCGAGAGAGCUCUUUUGCCAGUAUAGAUAUCUUCCCUCAAGGGUAGGAAGUGCAUCAGUAGAACUACCAUAAAUAAGAUCUGAAGGGCACGGGUUAUACCUCUUGAACUACAACAAUGUUGUUAAAAUGGUCCAGAAGAUGAGGCAGUCUGAGACUACUCUUUGACUGCAGAUGACUUCAGUUAGAGAUGCUUUAGGACAAUGUAUCAAAAUAGCUGUAGAUUAUUAAGCUGUAAGUUUUAUUAGGUGGUUUCAAUAAUGCUGUUGCAAGAGAGUAAAAUUGCAGGCUCAGACAGUGACAGUGAAGUUGAACUCAAACUGGGAUGGGGAUUCCCAAGGAUGGCAAAUUUGGACAUCCCAUUUGUGACUCAGAAGCUGAGGAGACUCCAAAAGCUUCCCUGCUGCCUUGUGUACAAAACUCUGCUGUGUACAUUCUUCCUCCCAUUGUUUUACAGUGCUAAAAUUAGUGCAGAGCGACUGUGUAAACAUGUAUGGCAAUAAAGAAACUUUGCUGAA
ensembl:lncRNA